CAAUAGCGUAUAUUUAAGUUGUUGCAGUUAAAAAGCUCGUAGUUGGAUUUCGGGUGGGACGCAGCGGUCUCGCAUUGCGUUUGUACUGCUGCAGCCCUCCUUCUUGCCGGGGGCGGCCUCUCGGACUUCACUGUCUGGGGGUCAGAAUCGGCGAUGUUACUUUGAGUAAAUUAGAGUGUUCAAAGCAAGCUUACGCUCUGAAUAUAAUAGCAUGGGAUAACACGACAGGACUCUGGCCUAUCGUGUUGGUCUAUAGGACCAGAGUAAUGAUUAAGAGGGACAGUCGGGGGCAUUCGUAUUCCGUUGUCAGAGGUGAAAUUCUUGGAUUUACGGAAGACGAACAUCUGCGAAAGCAUUUGCCAAGGAUGUGUUCAUUGA
rnacentral:rRNA from 1 species